rnacentral:rRNA from 1 species
GACGAACGCUGGCGGCGUGCCUAAUACAUGCAAGUAGAACGCUGAAGGAGGAGCUUGCUUCUCCGGAUGAGUUGCGAACGGGUGAGUAACGCGUAGGUAACCUGCCUGGUAGCGGGGGAUAACUAUUGGAAACGAUAGCUAAUACCGCAUAAGAGUAGAUGUUGCAUGACAUUUGCUUAAAAGGUGCAAUUGCAUCACUACCAGAUGGACCUGCGUUGUAUUAGCUAGUUGGUGAGGUAACGGCUCACCAAGGCGACGAUACAUAGCCGACCUGAGAGGGUGAUCGGCCACACUGGGACUGAGACACGGCCCAGACUCCUACGGGAGGCAGCAGUAGGGAAUCUUCGGCAAUGGACGGAAGUCUGACCGAGCAACGCCGCGUGAGUGAAGAAGGUUUUCGGAUCGUAAAGCUCUGUUGUAAGAGAAGAACGAGUGUGAGAGUGGAAAGUUCACACUGUGACGGUAUCUUACCAGAAAGGGACGGCUAACUACGCG